GGGCUGGUGGUGAAAUCCGGUAUCAUGCGCCCUUGGCUUGGGUGAGGCUGCGGGUUCAAAUUAAGAUGCAGCAAUUGUUGUGUCUAUGAAUUUCCCGCCCAGUCCA
rnacentral:tRNA from 1 species